GCAGGUUUCCCAUAAGCGUCGCUCCAGACCCCGCCAUGUGAUGCGAUGGAUCUCCAUCUCUUCAAGUGAACAUCACUGGAAGUCCAGAGUCAGGAGGGCCAUUGGUCUGACCUUGAAAAGCCUAUGACGAUCGUGCCGAAAGUGAUCGGCGGAAGCAGUGAACCAUCAUUGUAGGGCCCAAGUGUGACAUGUGACCUGCAGGGUACGUGGGCAAAUAUCAUGUGACAUCCAACAGAGCAGGUAUUCGUCGAACCAUUCGACAACACUUAUCAUCCAAUCAAGGGCACCCAAGGGAACUGCGGCGCUUGUACACUGCUAUAACAUCGAUUAAGAUACCUGGCUCGAACUCUGCUACAUGAGCUGCCCUGGACGUUGUCGUGUUUCUUUCCACAUUAUGUAAAGGCCUGAGUAUGUAAAAACACCCAGAGGGACGACACCAACACACGAGCACACAAUCGGUGUGCCAAGGCCCAGGCUCUUACACAAUGGAGUUCGUCCACCUCCUUGACUGCGUAUGCGCGAUCUUGUCGUGUUUCCUUGUUCUGUGGUGCGGAAUUUAUCUCUUCGUCUCCAAGGAUAUGGCUCCGACACCUGAAUUUGAUCUCGCUGUGGAAACGUCGCGAGAGUGGGAAGGCGUCAGGAAAGAAAUGCACGAAGCCAUUGUGGCGGAAGACGAGGCUCGUGUUCUAAAGUGUCUGGAUGCCGUGCCUGCUUUGAAACUGUGGUUGGACCCUGUUAAAGGAAAAUCAGCUCGUUACAGAGCUGUUAAAAAGAGAGCCAUCCGUAUACAUGGCCUUUUAGUCUCGCGUGGAUGUGUCCUCAAAAACACCAACGAAUCAUCAUAUUAUCAACAUCUCUCACCCGUCCAUCAAGCUGAAAUUCGACGGCAACGAUACUACACCACAUAAUGCAAAGACUCCUACAUCUAUUACUUGAGAAGCAAAUCAAUGAGCCACGUUGGACUUAAUGACUUGGAGAAGCGGUUGGAGAAGAUUUUCAGGGAACUUUCAACCGACCAAUUCAACGGGAAAAUAUUGAAAGUUGUUGCGACAGCACCGCACCUGGAUAUAGGAUUCGACUUCAACAGUGAAAACGUUCAGGGGACCACGGGGUGCAGCGGCAGCCGCGUCCUCGGACUUGCUACCUGCGGAGAGCAAACACUUUUGAUCGGAGCCAGAGCAACGGAAGUCGAAGUCCGGGGAACGUUUAUUCACGAAUCAUGUCAGUGGGCAAUUUAUCUGGUGUAUAAAAAUGAUGGUAAGCCGUAUUUCUGCGAAGAUACAGAAAAGGAACAGCGAUACAGAGCCAUUCUUGUUGACAUAAAACAAAGAGAAAACUAUGUGGAUGUCUUCAUCCAACAAGCUUUUAUCACACCACAACAACUUUAUUUCAGGAUAAUGGGUGGGGAAUCAAAAAUGAAGAACAAGAAGCGAGCGUUCGUGUCCCACGCAUACUAACUCAAUAUGGCAGCGACCACGGAUGUAUGGUUCUGGAUCAGGAGAUACCAGAAAUACGUAGGUUUUUCGAGGAUAGUGUCAUUCCGGACAUGAUGAAAUACAUUCAAAAUGGAAUCCCGUCGACAGAUGCGACACAGAUAGAAAAGGAAAAAAAAGCGAGACUCAACAAAGCUUUCAAUGUUGGCAAACUCAAAGUCAAAUUCGAGAACCAACUGAGGAACAGUGUCUGGGAAAACAGAUUGCUUCAUGUUUUUACUGGUCCAGAACUGACGCUUUUCGAAAUAAUGGUUCACAACGCUGUGCAAUCUACGGGAGGCCAUACUUGUUUUUCGAAGUAAACCAACUGGACUCCA